AGAGUUUGAUCAUGGCUCAGGACGAACGCUGGCGGCGUGCUUACACAUGCAAGUCGAAGCGAUGAACACCUUCGGGGUGUGAAUUAGGCGGCGAACGGGUGAAGAACACGUGAGAAAUCUGCCUUCAACCACUGGAAUAACUCCGGGAAACCGGGGCUAAUACCGGGAUAUGAAAUCUGCGGGCAUCCGCGGAUUUGGAAAGUUUUUCGGUUGAAGAUGAUCUCGCGGCCUAUCAGCUUGUUGGUGAGGUAAUGGCUCACCAAGGCUACGACGGGUAGCCGGCCUGAGAGGGCGACCGGCCACACUGGGACUGAGACACGGCCCAGACUCCUACGGGAGGCAGCAGUGGGGAAUAUUGGGCAAUGGAGGAAACUCUGACCCAGCGACGCUGCGUGCGGGAUGAAGGCCUUCGGGUUGUAAACCGCUUUCAGCAGGGAAGAAGCGAAAGUGACGGUACCUGCAGAAGAAGCACCGGCUAACUAUGUGCCAGCAGCCGCGGUAAUACAUAGGGUGCAAGCGUUGUCCGGAAUUAUUGGGCGUAAAGAGCUCGUAGGUGGUUCGUCACGUCGGAUGUGAAACUCUGGGGCUUAACCCCAGACCUGCAUUCGAUACGGGCGAGCUUGAGUAUGGUAGGGGAGUCUGGAAUU
rnacentral:rRNA from 1 species